GAGUUUGAUCCUGGCUCAGGAUGAACGCUAGCGGCAGGCUUAACACAUGCAAGUCGAGGGGCAGCACGAUUGCUUGCAAUUGGUGGCGACCGGCGCACGGGUGCGUAACGCGUAUGCAACUUACCCUUUACAGGGGGAUAGCCCGGGGAAACUCGGAUUAAUAUCCCAUAGUAUCAUAAUGCCACAUGGUAUAAUGAUUAAAGAUUUAUCGGUAAAGGAUGGGCAUGCGUAAGAUUAGCUAGUUGGUAAGGUAAUGGCUUACCAAGGCUACGAUCUUUAGGGGGCCUGAGAGGGUGAACCCCCACACUGGUACUGAGACACGGACCAGACUCCUACGGGAGGCAGCAGUGAGGAAUAUUGCGCAAUGGAGGAAACUCUGACGCAGCCAUGCCGCGUGAAGGAUGAAUGCCUUAUGGGUUGUAAACUUCUUUUAUACGAGAAUAAACCCCCCUACGUGUAGGGGGCUGAAGGUAUCGUACGAAUAAGGACCGGCUAACUCCGUGCCAGCAGCCGCGGUAAUACGGAGGGUCCAAGCGUUAUCCGGAUUCAUUGGGUUUAAAGGGUGCGUAGGCGGCUUAAUAAGUCAGUGGUGAAAGACUGUGGCUCAACCAUAGAAUUGCCAUUGAUACUGUUAAGCUUGAAUCUAGUUGAAGUGGGCGGAAUACAUCAUGUAGCGGUGAAAUGCAUAGAUAUGAUGUGGAACGCCGAUUGCGAAGGCAGCUCACUAAGUUAGUAUUGACGCUGAGGCACGAAAGCGUGGGUAGCGAACAGGAUUAGAU
rnacentral:rRNA from 1 species